rnacentral:rRNA from 1 species
GCAGUCGAACGGUAACAGGAAGCAGCUUGCUGCUUCGCUGACGAGUGGCGGACGGGUGAGUAAUGUCUGGGAAACUGCCUGAUGGAGGGGGAUAACUACUGGAAACGGUAGCUAAUACCGCAUAACGUCGCAAGACCAAAGAGGGGGACCUUCGGGCCUCUUGCCAUCGGAUGUGCCCAGAUGGGAUUAGCUAGUAGGUGGGGUAACGGCUCACCUAGGCGACGAUCCCUAGCUGGUCUGAGAGGAUGACCAGCCACACUGGAACUGAGACACGGUCCAGACUCCUACGGGAGGCAGCAGUGGGGAAUAUUGCACAAUGGGCGCAAGCCUGAUGCAGCCAUGCCGCGUGUAUGAAGAAGGCCUUCGGGUUGUAAAGUACUUUCAGCGGGGAGGAAGGCGAUGAGGUUAAUAACCUUGUCGAUUGACGUUACCCGCAGAAGAAGCACCGGCUAACUCCGUGCCAGCAGCCGCGGUAAUACGGAGGGUGCAAGCGUUAAUCGGAAUUACUGGGCGUAAAGCGCACGCAGGCGGUCUGUCAAGUCGGAUGUGAAAUCCCCGGGCUCAACCUGGGAACUGCAUUCGAAACUGGCAGGCUAGAGUCUUGUAGAGGGGGGUAGAAUUCCAGGUGUAGCGGUGAAAUGCGUAGAGAUCUGGAGGAAUACCGGUGGCGAAGGCGGCCCCCUGGACAAAGACUGACGCUCAGGUGCGAAAAGCGUGGGGGAGCAAACAGGAUUAGAUACCCUGGGUAGUCCACGCCGUAAACGAUGUCGACUUGGAGGUUGUGCCCUUGAGGCGUGGCUUUCCGGAGCUAACGCGUUAAGUCCAACCGCCUGGGGGAGUACGGCCCGCAAGGUUAAAAACUCAAAUGAAUUGGACGGGGGGCCCGCCCCAAACCGGGGGAACCAUUGUGGUUUUAAUUC